UGUAGCAUGCGAUUACUAAUGCAGUAAAAAUGUUGUAAAUGAGAAUUACCCAAAAUUACGACGCGAGCGAGAGCCGAAUAACAGCCUUUUUGUAAAAGCAAUAAUCGUCUAAUUUAAUAAAAACUUUUAUAUUUUACAAUGUUAUAUUGCUAAUGAAGUGCCUAAAUAUUUUGAUGGUUUUUUAUAAUUAGUGCAUUUAAUGCUAUAGUGAUGUCGAAGAACAAAAUCGCCGCACGGAUAGACAGUCAAAAUGUUGAAGUCAAAACUAAGUUUGACGCAGAAUUCCGGCGGUUCUCCCUCAACCGCUCAGAGAAGCUCAAGUACGAGGACUUCAAGGCUCUGAUCGAGAAGCUCCACAGACUCCAUGACGUCACAUUCCUCAUCUCGUACACGGACCCUCGGGAUGGGGACCUGCUGCCCAUCAACAAUGAUGAUAACUUCGCGCGAGCGCUGCUCACGGCGCGCCCGCUGCUCAGGGUCAUCAUACAGAGGAAGGGUGACAGCCUCGAAGAGCUCAAUGGGUACGGUACGAUGCGGCACCGGAACUUCAUCUCAUCCAUCCUGAGCGGCACGCCCGCGAAGAACAAGGGCCUGGCCAUAUCCAACCCGCACGACUUUAGAAUGGUGUCAGCUAUCAUCGACGUGGACAUAGUGCCUGAAACGUGUCGGAGGGUCAAAUUGCUCAAGCAUGGCUCGGAUCGACCGCUAGGAUUCUUCAUAAGGGACGGCACGUCGGUGCGCGUGACGCCGGGCGGCGUGGAGCGCGCGCCCGGCAUCUUCAUCUCGCGCCUCGUGCCCGGCGGGCUCGCCGAGUCCACCGGCCUGCUUGGCGUUAAUGAUGAGGUGCUGGAAGUCAACGGGAUCGACGUGUGCAACAAGACGCUAGACCAGGUGACGGACAUGAUGGUGGCCAACUCCUCCAAUCUCAUCAUCACCGUCCGCCCCGCCAACCAGCGCGCCGGGCCUCCCCCGCCGGCCACGGCGUCGCAGCCUAGCUCCGAGCCCGACGACGACAGGUUCGACCAAGACGAGCAGGAUGAGAUCGUAGACCUGACGGCCGUCACCCUCGAGGAACCGGAGACCUUCCCCUUACCCAGCAAGGACGACGGCCAGGUCCUACACCUGUAGUGCAGUGUAAAGUGAGGUCUACAGUGCAUUCAAGGUCUACACCUGUAGAGUGAGGUCUAUAGCGCAGUAAGGUCCCUACACCUGUGGCGCAAAUGCAUAGUUAAGUCUACAGUGCAUUCAAGGUCUACACCUGUAGUGCGCAAUGAGGUCUACAGUUCAGUAAGGUGCUACACCUAUAGUGCAGUGCACAGUGAGGUCUACAGUGCAUUCAAGGUCUACACCUGUAGUGUACAGUGAGGUCUACAGUGCAUUCAAGGUCUACACCUGUAGUGUACAGUGAGGUCUACGGUCUGCGACCCAGCUGCUGUGUCUCUAG
rnacentral:misc_RNA from 1 species